UACGUAGGUGACAAGCGUUGUCCGGAUUUACUGGGCGUAAAGAGCGCGCAGGCGGUCGAUCAAGUCGAGUGUGAAAGCCCCCGGCUCAAUUGGGGAGGGUCAUUCGAUACUGAUCGACUCGAAGGCAGGAGAGGGUAGUGGAAUUCCCGGUGUAGUGGUGAAAUGCGUAGAUAUCGGGAGGAACACCAGUGGCGAAGGCGACUACCUGGCCUGUUCUUGACGCUGAGGCGCGAAAGCUAGGGGAGCAAACGGG
rnacentral:rRNA from 1 species